rnacentral:tRNA from 1 species
AUAAAAGUUCUCCAAACACA